rnacentral:rRNA from 1 species
GGUAAGCGAUGGGGUGACGCAGGAAGGUAGUCCAGCCCAGGCGAUGGUUGUCCUGGGGUAAGCAUGUAGGGCGGAACGUAGGUAAAUCCGCGUUCUAUUCAGCCUGAGAUGUGAUGCCGAGCCGAUUGUGGUGAAGUGGAUGAUCCUAUGCUGCCGAGAAAAGCCUCUAGUGAGUGUUGUGGCGGCCCGUACCCUAAACCGACUCAGGUGGUCAGGUAGAGAAUACCAAGGCGAUCGGGUGAACUGUGGUUAAGGAACUCGGCAAAUUGCCCCCGUAACUUCGGGAGAAGGGGGACCUCUGCUGGUGAUGGGCUUUACGUUCUGAGCUGGUGGGGGUCGCAGUGGCCAGGGGGAAGCGACUGUUUACUAAAAACACAGGUCCGUGCGAAGUCGUAAGACGAUGUAUACGGACUGACGCCUGCCCGGUGCCGGAACGUUAAGGGGACCGCUUAGCCAGCUUCGGUUGGCGAAGGUGAGAACUUAAGCGCCGGUAAACGGCGGUGGUAACUAUAACCAUCCUAAGGUAGCGAAAUUCCUUGUCGGGUAAGUUCCGACCUGCACGAAUGGCGUAACGACUUCCCCGCUGUCUCAACCACAGACCCGGCGAGAUUGCACUACGAGUAAAGAUGCUCGUUUCGCGCAGCAGGACGGAAAGACCCCGGGACCUUCACUACAGCUUGACAUUGGCGUUUGGAACGUCUUGUGUAGGAUAGGUGGGAGACUGGGAAGCUGUCACGCUAGUGAUGGUGGAGUCAUUGGUGAAAUACCACUCUGGUCGUUUUGAACGUCUAACUCUGGUCCGUGAUCCGGAUCGGGGACAGUGUCUGGUGGGUAGUUUAACUGGGGCGGUUGCCUCCUAAAGAGUAACGGAGGCGCCCAAAGGUUCCCUCAGCCUGGUUGGCAAUCAGGUGUUGAGUGUAAGUGCACAAGGGAGCUUGACUGUGAGACUGACAGGUCGAGCAGGAGCGAAAGCUGGGACUAGUGAUCCGGCAUCGGCGUGUGGAAGCGGUGUCGCUCAACGGCUAAAAGGUACCCCGGGGAUAACAGGCUGAUCUUCCCCAAGAGUCCAUAUCGACGGGAUGGUUUGGCACCUCGAUGUCGGCUCGUCGCAUCCUGGGGCUGGAGUAGUCCCAAGGGUUGGGCUGUUCGCCCAUUAAAGCGGUACGCGAGCUGGGUUUAGAACGUCGCGAGACAGUUCGGUCCCUAUCCGCUGCGCGCGCAGGAGACUUGAAGGGGGCUGUCCCUAGUACGAGAGGACCGGGACGGACGAACCUCUGGUGUGCCAGUUGUACCGCCAGGUGCACGGCUGGUUGGCUACGUUCGGAAGGGAUAACCGCUGAAAGCAUCUAAGCGGGAAGCUCGCCUUGAGAUGAGGUCUCCCACCACGAGAGUGGGUAAGGCUCCCGGUAGAUCACCGGGUUGAUAGGCCGGAGGUGGAAGCACGGUAACGUGUGGAGCUGACCGGUACUAAUAGGCCGAGGACUUGACCAC